rnacentral:rRNA from 1 species
UCCUACGGGAGGCAGCAGUGGGGAAUAUUGGGCAAUGGGGAAAACCCUGACCCAGCAACGCCGCGUGAGGGAAGAAGGCUUUCGGGUUGUAAACCUCUUUUACCAGGGACGAAGAACGUGACGGUACCUGGAGAAAAAGCAACGGCUAACUACGUGCCAGCAGCCGCGGUAAU